AGAGUUUGAUCCUGGCUCAGGAUGAACGUNGGCGGUGUGCCUUAAGCAUGCAAGUGGAACGCUGUUUUAGAAACCGCAAGGUUUUUGAAACGGAGUCGCGGACGGGUGAGUAAAGCAUAGGAAUCUGCCCUCUGAUGUGGAAUAACUAGCCGAAAGGUUGGCUAAUAUCGCAUGAGGCCGCAAGGUCAAAGGGGUUAACCCCCCGCCGGAGGAUGAGCCUAUGUCCUAUCAGCUAGUUGGUGGGGUAAAAGCCUACCAAGGCAAUGACGGGUAGCUGGACUGAGAGGUCGGUCAGCCACAAUAGCACUGAGACACGGGCUAUACAUCUACGGAUGGCAGCAACUGGGAAUAUUGCGCAAUGGGCGAAAGCCUGACGCAGCGACACCGCGUGGGGGAUGAAGGCCUUAGGGUCGUAAACCCCUUUUGACAGGGAAUCCCGCAAGGGGUACGGUACCUGUGGAAUAAGCAUCUGCUAACCACGUGCCAGCAGCCGCGGUAAUACGUGGGAUGCGAACGUUAUCCGGAUUUACUGGGCGUAAAGAGUUCGUAGGCGUUUUUCUAAGUUUCAUUUGAAAUACCGAGGCUUAACUUCGGGACCGGAUGAAAUACUAGAAGAAUUGAGUUAGUUAGGGGGUACUGGAAUUGACAGUGUAGCAGUGAAAUGCGUUGAUAUUGUCAAGAACACCAAGGGCGAAGGCAGGUACCUGGGACCGCACUGACGCUGAGGAACGAAAGCUAGGGGAGCGAAAGGGAUUAGAUACCCUGGUAGUC
rnacentral:rRNA from 1 species